rnacentral:rRNA from 1 species
UACGGAGGGGGCAAGCGUUAUUCGGAAUUAUUGGGCGUAAAGGGCGCGUAGGCGGCUAGAUGUGUCAAAGGUGAAAUCCCUCGGCUCAACUGAGGAACUGCCUUUGAAACUGUCUGGCUUGAGGCCGGGAGAGGGUAGCGGAAUUCCCAGUGUAGCGGUGAAAUACGUAGAUAUCGGGAGGAACACCAGUGGCGAAGGCGGCUCUCUGGACAGGUUCUGACGCUGAGACGCGAAAGCGUGGGUAGCAAACAGG